ACCAUCUUUGUCAUGGGGUGUGAGAGCUGCUCAAUGAACGUCUAGUGAGAGCAUCUCUGCUGACGCCAUGACAACACAUGUGCAUCACCUAGGCAGCAAUGCCUGGGCUAUGGUGCAAUUUUUGGAACC
ensembl:snRNA U4atac minor spliceosomal RNA